rnacentral:rRNA from 1 species
CAGUAGCCGCGGGAAUACGGAGGGAGCUAGCGUUGUUCGGAAUUACUGGGCGUAAAGCGCACGUAGGCGGAUCGAUCAGUCAGGGGUGAAAUCCCAGGGCUCAACCCUGGAACUGCCUUUGAUACUGUCGAUCUGGAGUAUGGAAGAGGUGAGUGGAAUUCCGAGUGUAGAGGUGAAAUUCGUAGAUAUUCGGAGGAACACCAGUGGCGAAGGCGGCUCACUGGUCCAUUACUGACGCUGAGGUGCGAAAGCGUGGGGAGCAAACAGGAUUAGAUACCCCUGUAGUCCCUGUCUCUUAUAC